AAAUAAAAUGGCAGAUAAAUGCAUUAGAAUUAGAAUCUAAAUAAGUAUAA
rnacentral:tRNA from 1 species